CUUGAGAGUUUGAUCCUGGCUCAGAACGAACGCUGGCGGCAGGCUUAACACAUGCAAGUCGAACGAUAUAGUGGCAGACGGGUGAGUAACGCGUGGGAACGUACCUUUCACUACGGAAUAGCUCUUGGAAACGAGUGGUAAUACCGUAUACGCCCUUCGGGGGAAAGAUUUAUCGGUGAAAGAUCGGCCCGCGUUAGAUUAGCUAGUUGGUGGGGUAAUGGCCUACCAAGGCGACGAUCUAUAGCUGGUCUGAGAGGAUGAUCAGCCACACUGGGACUGAGACACGGCCCAGACUCCUACGGGAGGCAGCAGUGGGGAAUAUUGGACAAUGGGCGCAAGCCUGAUCCAGCCAUGCCGCGUGUGUGAAGAAGGCCUUUUGGUUGUAAAGCACUUUAAGCGAGGAGGAG
rnacentral:rRNA from 1 species